rnacentral:lncRNA from 9 species
CCAAUCACAAUUUAAUAUUUAAAAAUAAAAUCUCAGCUACAGAAAAAUAAUAGGAGCAGGCCCACCAUAAAAGGAGCAGGAGAACUGAAAUGAAGUGCUCUCAUAAAAGUUUCAUAAAAAAAUAAACCACACACCUAUGACACACUUGGGAGAAAUGCCAUAAAAUUUCUACACGCAAAGAGGCAAUGUUCCCUCCAUCUUCCUUUCCUGUUCAACAAGCAUUUGUUCUGAAUUCUCAAGUCCCUACAGGUGAGUGUUGACAGGUUUUACAGCAUUUCAGAGGGAAAAAGUUUACAAUCACUGGGUUGGGAAGAGGGGAAAGAGAAAUGAGCCCCAUCCUGGGAAAUCACAGGGUACUGGUGUCAGGGGACAAGGAUUCUCAUACAACCCUGUUCUUCCUAAUCCAGGUUUUACAGGAAUACGUAGUUCCAGUUUUUGUUGUAUUCAGGAGAAAGAAAGCACGGUGUGUUGAGGAAGAGGAGUCUUCUUCGUGUCAAUUGAUGUAUUUGGAGGCAGUGUAGUAUUAGAAGACAAAGAGUUCAAAGUUUGGAGUCAUGCUAUUCUGGGCUCAAGCCCUGGCAUUGCCACAUGUGUGACCUUGGGUGAGUUCCUCAAUCUGGCUAAACUUCAGGUUCCCCAUCUAUCAAAUAGAGUAUUUUAGGGAAUGGUUGUGAAAAUUAGAGAUAAUGUAUUUAAGUACAUGGUGAAUAGCAUGAUAGGAGCUCAGUAAUAAUAGCUAUUGCUAUUCCAUUUAAUGGACCUGGCCUGUUAUAACACUCUCAGCUACGCUCUGCAUGCAGGGUGAGAAAGCACCAAUACAUCUUGCUUAUGGAUAGGAGAGCAGGCUCUCUCCUCAUUGAGAUAAAGCAUCAUGGAGGAAGACCUGUUAAUAGGAACAUAUGUGAAAAUUAUUCUCCGGCAGUCACACCUUGAUUUCCUAUUGUCAUGGCAAUAGGAUGGGAUGGGAUCCCUUACUCCCAUUCUAGCCACAUCAUCAUGGUCAGUGUCCUCCUCCCCCACAACUUUUUACACCCUCAUUGGAAAGUCUAAUGAAUGACCCUUUUGAGGGAAGUUCUUACAUGCCUGGGAUGGGAAGCUGGGAUGUGAAUGUCUAGGAUCACCCCAAGCAACGUACAGAAUUUAUAGUCUGUAUACCUUCAGUCUAAUGAGAUGUGCCAUUGCAAAAGCCUUGGCAGCUGAAAAGAGGUGCUGUCACUUCCCUGCUCAAGAACACUCCAACAGCCUCUCAUCAUUAAAAAAAUACAGCACAACACAACAGAAAGAGAAAUGAAAAUGCUUUAGUAUGUUCUACACAGUCCGACA